ACGCACAGAAAUUUGGUUGAGUCGAUUCAACAAAAUGAAUUGUUGAAUUCAAACCCUUCGGUUUGUUGAACCGUUUAUCAGGUUUUGUCGUACCAACAAUCAGUUUUUGUUGCAAUGACAAAUAUAUUGGACGAUUCAAUAAUCAUGUUGUUGGUUAAGUGAUUUUUUAAAUAAGUGUGUUUAAAAAUUAACAGUGUAUUGUAUUGCCGGAGUAAACAAGAAACAAUGUCCGAAUGUAAUCGUGACUUACUGCGAAAUUUAAGAAAAUAAACGAAAUAUGUGCGAAUGUCCCACUAAAAUGGUUGCGCACUGCUUUACGGACUUACGGCGAAAAUAAAAUUGAACCCGGUUCCACUUUCAGAGGAUGAAAAUCAGCAGAAUUCCACAUGUUUCGAAUCCUGUCAGGAAUUCAUAUUCCAUCCAGUCUUCCCAACAUAACCUAGUGUGGAUGCCGCCUUCAACGCAGCUGUUGACGGUAAUUCAACGGGGAAGAAACUGGCGAAUUUUUAUGCGUAUUCUAAAUCAAUGUGAAACGUGUCUCAGGAGAUUAUGUUAUGCAUAUGAUGAAAAGCUCGGUAAAUAAAUGCUAAAAAUAUAGUUUUAUUCGUUGUUAUAAACAAAAAAAGCAAAGAAAAACCUAAGCUGCAAAUGUCAAAAUAACAAACAUGUUUGUCAGAAGAUGGUUAUAUUAACAAGCAGAUUUGUCGAUCGAACAAUUUGUUUGU